ensembl:lncRNA
GGGGAGGGGGAGGUGGCCUCUGAGAACUGCUUGCUCGGUGGUUUCUGGUUGCCAUACACAGAGGCAAACAAAGCCGAGGCCGUGUGGGGUGGCCCCGCCCAGCGCCAGCCCCGGCUCAGGUUUCCCACACCUGGCCGGGUGGAUCCAGGUCACCCGGGGCUGUUUUUCUCUGCAGGUUGCAUUCUGAGGAGCAGGGGUGCUUUAGCGCUAGAUGAAAUUCCUGCUCUCAGGUAGCUAACAAUGGUGGUGUUGGAGUGUGUAAAUAAUUAAGACAGAAGCGGGAUGAAGGCUCUGAAGAAUACUGAUGUGAUGACUGGAGCGGAGCAGCCAGCUAAAACCGUGAAGCAUACUGGGAAUGAUUCGUGCAGAGCAUGAAUAUCUUGCAGAGCAGAAAGAUAGGAGUCUGGGUCCCUGAGGCCUGUCAGGAGCUCUGAUACAGACCCACAGCAUCCGUCUGGGAUUACUGCACUGGUCCCAUGGAACUUUGGCAGCAAGAGGACCCAGUGCAAACAAGAACCCCAUGCAGCCCACUCUGCUGUGAGAAAUAAAACUCCC